rnacentral:lncRNA from 1 species
UGGUUUGGCGAUAUCUGGCCACAGCUUUUAUUCAUAAUAUGAUAGAUUCAUAUAAUAUAUAAUAUAUAUAUAUAUAGAUAGAUAGACCAUAGACCAUGUAUAUGUAGAUAGAUCUAUGGUCGGUUACCCGAAGAUAAUAUGGCAACCAGGUAGAUAGAUAGAUAUAUGUGAAGAUAGAUAUAUAUGAAAAUGUAAAGAUGCACCGUGGGAUACACUGGUGCUUUAAAUUUAGAAAACACCGUGGGAUACACAAGUGUAGUCUGUAUUAUCCAAAAACCUAAAAUUUCAUAGUUAACAUUAAGAUUCUAUGCAGCGAAUUCUGCCAUUUACGGGAAUAUAUUUAUGAUGCUCAAAGUUCAAAUAAAAGUCACUUUUCUCAACAGCAAACGAGUUAACAUCAUCAGUCAAAUCUGUAUCACCACUAUCACCGACACAAACCUGAAAAAUAAAUACAAAAGAGCAGUAUCUUGUUCAAUAAAAAGGAGUGGGAGGGCGGGUUUUCAAGUUUACCGCUUACAAAAUUUAAACAGCUUGCUUGCUGCGAUGAAAUUCUAAAAAGGACUAAAUGACGUCACAGAAUAUAACGUCACACAUGUUGGGUAAAUCUAAAACAUGAAACACAAUCCGUGAGUGGCCCCGGCGAUAACUGAAUUUAAGUCUAUUAACUUAAAUUCCAUUAUCUCAGAUGGUGCCAUUAAAACAAAAUACAUAUAUGGUUUGGCGAUAUCUGGCCACAGCUUUUAUUCAUAAUAUGAUAGAUUCAUAUAAUAUAUAAUAUAUAUAUAUAUAGAUAGAUAGACCAUAGACCAUGUAUAUGUAGAUAGAUCUAUGGUCGGUUACCCGAAGAUAAUAUGGCAACCAGGUAGAUAGAUAGAUAUAUGUAAAGAUAGAUAUAUAUGAAAAUGUAAAGAUGCACCGUGGGAUACACUGGUGCUUUAAAUUUAGAAAACACCGUGGGAUACACAAGUGUAGUCUGUAUUAUCCAAAAACCUAAAAUUUCAUAGUUAACAUUAAGAUUCUAUGCAGCGAAUUCUGCCACAUUGACGGAGG